rnacentral:rRNA from 1 species
AUUGAACUCUGGCGGCAGGCCUAACACAUGCAAGUCGAGCGGUAGAGAGAAGCUUGCUUCUCUUGAGAGCGGCGGACGGGUGAGUAAUGCCUAGGAAUCUGCCUGGUAGUGGGGGAUAACGUUCGGAAACGGACGCUAAUACCGCAUACGUCCUACGGGAGAAAGCAGGGGACCUUCGGGCCUUGCGCUAUCAGAUGAGCCUAGGUCGGAUUAGCUAGUUGGUGAGGUAAUGGCUCACCAAGGCGACGAUCCGUAACUGGUCUGAGAGGAUGAUCAGUCACACUGGAACUGAGACACGGUCCAGACUCCUACGGGAGGCAGCAGUGGGGAAUAUUGGACAAUGGGCGAAAGCCUGAUCCAGCCAUGCCGCGUGUGUGAAGAAGGUCUUCGGAUUGUAAAGCACUUUAAGUUGGGAGGAAGGGCAGUAAAUUAAUACUUUGCUGUUUUGACGUUACCGACAGAAUAAGCACCGGCUAACUCUGUGCCAGCAGCCGCGGUAAUACAGAGGGUGCAAGCGUUAAUCGGAAUUACUGGGCGUAAAGCGCGCGUAGGUGGUUUGUUAAGUUGGAUGUGAAAUCCCCGGGCUCAACCUGGGAACUGCAUUCAAAACUGACUGACUAGAGUAUGGUAGAGGGUGGUGGAAUUUCCUGUGUAGCGGUGAAAUGCGUAGAUAUAGGAAGGAACACCAGUGGCGAAGGCGACCACCUGGACUAAUACUGACACUGAGGUGCGAAAGCGUGGGGAGCAAACAGGAUUAGAUACCCUGGUAGUCCACGCCGUAAACGAUGUCAACUAGCCGUUGGAAGCCUUGUGUUUUUAGUGGCGCAGCUACCGCAUUAUGUCGCCCCCCUGGGGAGUACGGCCGCAAGUUUAAAACUCAAAUGAAUUGGCGGGGGCCCGCACACGCGGUGGCGUAUGUGGUUUAAUUAGAAGCAGCGCGAAGACCCUUAACAGGCCUUGACAUCCAAUGAACUUUCUAGAGAUAGAUUGGCCCUUUGGGGAACAUUGACACAGGUGCCGCAGGGCUGUCGUCAGCUCGUGUCGUGAGAUGUUGGGUUAAGUCCCGUAACGAGCGCAACCCUUCUCCUUAGUUCCCAGCAUGUAAUGGUGGGCACUCUAAGGAGACUGCCGGUGACAAACCGGAGGAAGGGGGGAGGACGUCAAGUCAUCAUGGCCCUUACGGCCUGGGCUACCCACGUGUUACAAUGGUCGGUACAGAGGGUUGCCAAGCCGCGAGGUGGAGCUAAUCCCACAAAACCGAUCGUAGUCCGGAUCGCAGUCUGCAACUCGACUGCGUGAAGUCGGAAUCGCUAGUAAUCGCGAAUCAGAAUGUCGCGGUGAAUACGUUCCCGGGCCU